rnacentral:rRNA from 1 species
UCCGUGCCAGCAGCCGCGGUAAUACGGAGGGUGCGAGCGUUAAUCGGAAUUACUGGGCGUAAAGCGCAUGCAGGUGGUUUGUUAAGUCAGAUGUGAAAGCCCGGGGCUCAACCUCGGAACUGCAUUUGAAACUGGCAGACUAGAGUACUGUAGAGGGGGGUAGAAUUUCAGGUGUAGCGGUGAAAUGCGUAGAGAUCUGAAGGAAUACCGGUGGCGAAGGCGGCCCCCUGGACAGAUACUGACACUCAGAUGCGAAAGCGUGGGGAGCAAACAGGAUUAGAUACCCUGGUAGUCCACGCUGUAAACGAUGUCUACUUGGAGGUUGUGGCCUUGAGCCGUGGCUUUCGGAGCUAACGCGUUAAGUAGACCGCCUGGGGAGUACGGUCGCAAGAUUAAAACUCAAAUGAAUUGACGGGGGCCCGCACAAGCGGUGGAGCAUGUGGUUUAAUUCGAUGCAACGCGAAGAACCUUACCUACUCUUGACAUCCAGAGAAUCUAGCGGAGACGCUGGAGUGCCUUCGGGAACUCUGAGACAGGUGCUGCAUGGCUGUCGUCAGCUCGUGUUGUGAAAUGUUGGGUUAAGUCCCGCAACGAGCGCAACCCUUAUCCUUGUUUGCCAGCGAGUAAUGUCGGGAACUCCAGGGAGACUGCCGGUGAUAAACCGGAGGAAGGUGGGGACGACGUCAAGUCAUCAUGGCCCUUACGAGUAGGGCUACACACGUGCUACAAUGGCGCAUACAGAGGGCGGCCAACUUGCGAAAGUGAGCGAAUCCCAAAAAGUGCGUCGUAGUCCGGAUUGGAGUCUGCAACUCGACUCCAUGAAGUCGGAAUCGCUAGUAAUCGUGGAUCAGAAUGCCACGGUGAAUACGUUCCCGGGCCUUGUACACACCGCCCGUCACACCAUGGGAGUGGGCUGCAAAAGAAGUGGGUAGUUUAACCUUCGGGAGGACGCUCACCACUUUGUGGUUCAUGACUGGGGUGAAGUCGUAACAAGGUAGCGCUAGGGGAACCUGGCGCUGGAUCACC